rnacentral:rRNA from 1 species
CCUACGGGUGGCUGCAGUGGGGAAUAUUGGACAAUGGGGGGAACCCUGAUCCAGCCAUGCCGCGUGUGUGAAGAAGGCCCUCGGGUUGUAAAGCACUUUCAGUGAGGAAGAACGCCUGGUGGUUAAUACCCAUCAGGAAAGACAUCACUCACAGAAGAAGCACCGGCUAACUCCGUGCCAGCAGCCGCGGUAAUACGGAGGGUGCGAGCGUUAAUCGGAAUUACUGGGCGUAAAGCGCGCGUAGGUGGCUUGAUAAGCCGGUUGUGAAAGCCCCGGGCUCAACCUGGGAACGGCAUCCGGAACUGUCAAGCUAGAGUGCAGGAGAGGAAGGUAGAAUUCCCGGUGUAGCGGUGAAAUGCGUAGAGAUCGGGAGGAAUACCAGUGGCGAAGGCGGCCUUCUGGACUGCCACUGACACUGAGGUGCGAAAGCGUGGGUAGCAAACAGGAUUAGAUACCCGUGUAGUC